UACAAACAUGUUAUAAAACAGCUCCAUAUGUUGGCAUAUAUACUUGAAACAGCUUUAAGAAUCCACAUCAUAUCAGAUUGUGCACAUGCAAUCAGUUUUAUUUUGCCGAAUGCAACGUGUUAGCCACAUGUUUCUGGAUUUGUUUCAUCGGCAUUUCAUUCCACAUUCGACUUGUCUAUAGCUUGGUCUUAAACUGGACACUAAUCUCAAUGCUGGAGCACUACCUCCAGUGAAGCAAGGGGAGGUGAUAGCAACUGAGAUUUAGUAUCUCAUGUAUCACUGACCAACUUUGGAAAUGUGCCUAAAUGGUUUCUCAAUUCAACUAGUUUACGCACUACUGAAGGAAUAGAGGAAAUGUGAAAGGAAUAGAAGAAAGUGCAAGGAUGAUGAAGUAAGGUUUUCGGAUCACAUAGAGAUGACUUGCGCUUCUCAGACAAAUCCAAGAUUAGCAGCACUCACGAGAACCGCUUGACUGGUAUUUAAUGAAGGUUUCCUCAGCGACUCACUGCUCAUGGAGUCCUAUGAUAUGAUCACAGCUCCGAUCAAGAGACAGCACUGCUUUAAGAAGCCAUGCUUAAAAAUUGGAAAGGAUUUUCAAGAUGGAAACAAGCUCACUUCUUCCACGAGUCGGGGAAAACAAAACAACAAAACUAAUUACAAAAUGAUCAUUGGCUCACUAAUAAGUCAUCAACAUGCAUCCCUUGCUGGGAGCGUGAAUGUAGCUUGAUAGUAGGAAAGGCAAAGUUAAUGAAAAUUUUCAUCGAACAUGCAUAAUCUGGGCAAAAUUUGCACCUGUGCAGCUGUUAGAGAUAAAAUGAGCCGCACACUGCGUACCCUUGCCUGAAUCUCUGCAGCAGUUCAGACAGUUGUAAAUGCCUUGAGUAGAAACAUUGAGUACUGUUAAUGGAUAGGUUUAUUUUAAACCAUGCCAUCUGCUAUCAAUCACGGAGAAGUAUGGGAACAAGUUGGCUGUGCUCCCUUCUGUGAAGCUGAUAGAGAUAGGGCUCUGACAUACUGGGACGUUUAAUCCCAGGAGAAUAAAACAUCAAACCUACUCACCAGCCUCACUAACAAUAAUAAAAAAUGCCUUCUCCUAAAGGUGACAUUGCUAAUUUACGAUUA